AGCUCGCUAACUUCCGCCGCCCAGCUGCCCCGGCACCGCCGAGCAGGCACAGUGGAUAAGGGCCGGGCAGCGCGGUGGGCUCAGCCGACGUCCACCAAACCGACGGGUCAUGUUCGCUUCGACUGUGCUUCCUCGGUGAUCUGGAACCGAGCACAGCAAAUACAGGUGUGGUGAAACUUUGGACAGAAAGCCAGCUCAAGGGGAAAUGGCAUCAGUGCAGGCGGUGCCAAAUGCCUGAACUAACUCCCGAGGAGAGGGAGCUCCGUCAUAGGACUGACCUGGACUCCACUGAAGGCAAUAGCAGUGAAGAGGAUGUUGGCAGAAUUGGACAAUACUAUGAGUAAUUCUGUCUACUGCUUUAGGGGGUGCUGUUCUGGAGCACAUUUUGCCACUGGCUCAUUCCACCACAGUGUGUUUUUACACUGCUGUGCAUCGUUCCUGCCUACUCCCAUGAGCCACUACACCGCCUCCCAAUGUGCCACUCCUCACUCCUAUCUAUCUGUAUUACCACCACUAAUUUAUUAUUAUCUCUACACAUUUAUUUCUAUAAUAUUCCAGUAUUCUGUUUUCAGGAUAUUCUAUUUGUGUACUGUGUACUUUUUAGAUUUUCUUUCGCAUAACGUUUACUUGUUUGUGCUGUGUAUAGACCUGCUAUAUUUGCACUUUGUCUGGCACUGCGUGUCUAUGCCGCUGUAUGUGCCAGGAUUUCCACAUUUAACAGUUACGGUGCUUUGCCUUUGUGUAACAGUAUGGGUGCAGUAGCCUAUACUGCUGUCUUACUGAUCCCUGUAAGUACAGAUGCAAUUGUGAUGCUGUUAACACUUGAAGAUACUAUUUACUUUUGAAUGAUUUAUGAGUGGCCCUUACUGGUAUUUAAGUACCUCUGUACCCUCUGACAUCCUACUUGGGCCCUGGGCUUUGGGGUGGGACACAAAUGCUCCUCAUGGGUAAUAUUUUGCCUACUGUCGGAGGGCUCUUCAGUUAAUUUUGCCAAUUGCAGGGGGGGGGGGAUCUCCCCCUUGGUUAAUAUUGCCGGUCCACAUACACAUUGACCCCCUGGGAAAUUGGCCAGUAUGCCAGAUGGCCAGUCCAGCUAUGCUACGUACCGAGGUCUGCAAGUACUAUUUGGCAGAAAAAACUGCAGCUUACAAUUUGUGCGUUUGAUUUUUUCAGUAGGCAAAUGAAUAAACGCACACAUGG